CGACAGCAUGUUUGUUUGAGUUGAAGGAAAUAAUCCAGUAUGAAGAGAGUGAUUUACGGUCCUGAAGAGGAAGGAAAAGAUCAUUUAAUCAAAGAACUUCAAGGGCUGGGACCCAGAAUACGGGGGAAUUGAACUCAGGACAUUUGCACUGAGCUACAUUCCAAGCCCUUCUUAAAGAACGCACUUGCUAAGUCACUGCUUUCCCUGGAUGGGCUUGAACUUUCAAACCUCCUUCCUCAGUCUCACAAAGGGACUCUCUUCAUAGUUGGAGUGGGGACAGAUGUGGGACAGAAUGUGAGAGACCCUGUCAUAUAUUCAGAGCCAUACUGGCUGGGAGAGCCACGUACUACCUGAAUAUGAAGGGCAUUCUUGCUGCGUGGAUAACAGAGUCUAUGGAAUCUCCACCUGUUCCAACCUUCAGCUCUUUUCAUCAUGAUGCAAUAUAAAGAGCAGGGACUUUACAGACAGAUAGACCUGACUUAGCACUGUGGCAACACAACUUACUCUGUGAACCUUGGACACUUCUUAGCGUCCUUAGGAGAUACGAUAAAAAAACACAGUGGAUGCUACAGACGAGUGCCAUCCAGUGAAAUGGUUUGCAAAAACAUUACAAUGUGUAUUCAUCCACCUUAUUCACCGGGCCUAGCACCAUGUGACUUCUGACUUUUCCUCCAAAACCAAAAUGACCAUGAAUGGUCAAAGUUUUGUGUUGAUUCAGGACAUCAAGGCAGCCACAACAGCACAACUAAAGACACUCAUGGUAGAGGACUUCCAAAACUGCUUCAGAAAGUGGCAAGAAUGAUGGGUGGUUUCCUGAACAGCUGAGCAGAUGGAAGACCUGAUUCUUCAGUUUUGAGAAAGUCAGAUUCUGCUUCUCCUGACUCUUGCUCUGUUGCACUUCUAAUUUCUGAGUCAGCUUAGACUGAGCUGAGUGUGAAUCAGGAGACCAACUUCUGCAUCCUAAGGGAGCUUGACUUGGCUUCCAAGGAGUUCAUCUUCGACGCUUAUGACUCUGAGUCCCGAAAAUGAGCCAACGAGGCAAUCUUUCUUCCUCCUGGAUUUGACUGGCACGAGACUGUUUCUAAGACACAGAGGAGCAAGGAUUUGGGGAAGAUGGCCACCUGACGGCAGCUUUUUUCUCCUUGGAUCCCAGCUCCCAAUUCCUCACUUUCAGAGCUGGGAGAGAAGGAGAUGAGGGCUGAGUGCAGGCUUUCAUCCUCCAGACCAAUGCUGACCUGGAGCUGCUCCGGCAUAUAGGAAAGAAAGGCUGGGAUCCUGGGAAAAAAAAUGCUCAUUCUGAGAUCCGUGGCCACAUCUGCUGGAGAGCGCCCAAUGUUUCUGGUUCCUUUGAGGCCAGGUGGGAGCUGGGUCUGGAGCUGUGGCCUCGCCCACCCGGAAGUGGCAGCGUAGGAGGACUUGAUUUGUGUCAGAGAAUGGAGACCUCUCUUGGAGCUUUCAUCAGUGACAGAGAAUCUGUUGGUUUCUAAGCUGCUACUUCCUUGGGGGCACAAAAUGUUUUCCCACCAUCUGUGUGACUGGCACCAAAUGGGGGACCCCAAUGAGCAGGUCUGAGCAUGAGCAAGCAGACAAGGGAAAUGGAAGCACAGCGAAGAGAUUCUGGUGCCUAGAGAAGAAGGAGACACUAAGAGGACUCAUCCCAUCACGUGGGAGCCUGCCAGACACAGCAGUGGCAGACUGAGCCAGAACUACAGAAGCCUGCUGGGGGGAUUCUCGAGCACUUCACCACGGAGCCAGCUCAGGAUCUUCCAGUUAAACAGUUUUGCAAAUGAAUCCAGGGAGGGGAUGAGUCCUGAGAAGACAAAUUAGGGGGUAGCUGAGGUCCCAGAGCAAAGAAAUAUAAUGGAAAAAAGCUACAAGGGGAAAGAAAAGUUUAUGAGAGGGACCUCAAAGACUUACUAUGUGAAAAACACAAGGUGCAGAAAUUGAAAAAGAAAGCCAGGUGUGGUGACACAUGCAUGUAAUUCCAGCAUUCUGGGAGGCUGAGGCAGGAGGAUUGCAAGUUUGAGCCCAGCCUGGGUGAUUUAGUGACUAAGUGAGACUCUGUUUAAAAAUUAAAAAUAAAAAAGGCUGGGGAUGUAGCUUAGUGAAAAAGCCCCAUAUUUAAAAAAAAGAUUUUUAAAAAAGAGUUUAUUAAUUCCUUAACAAGUAAUGGGUCCAGGUGAAAGUGACUGAAGGCCAAGGACAGGGCAGGUGUAAGAUGAUGUGACUACAUUAUGAUCUUUCAGGUAGAAAGCACGGGUUACCUACAAUAGAGAAGAAAAAACCAGACUUCCCUUUUGUAACACUGGAGACUGGAAGACAGCGGGGUAGCAUCGACAGAUUGCAGAGUGAAAGGCAGUUAUGCAAAGAGCCAAUGUAAACCUAUAUGGACCUCAUUAGUUGCUAAGGCACAAUUGAAACAAUCUUUGAUAUUUAAAAAUAUAAAGAGCCCUUAUGGAAAUGGUAGGAGACCUGAGGUUGGAGAAGUGAUUAAGAUGAAACAUGUAUGUGUACCACUUCGCCAAGAGGAAUGUAAGUAUUAUGUAUCACAAACAUAUUCAAAUAAAAUUUAAUAAGAUUUAGAGAGCUCCCAUUCCCAAUGUCAGCAAGAUUUAAGAAUCAAGACUAAACUCUAACAAAAUAGCAAGGAGUCAUGAAUACAGACUUUAAAUGAGUAAGGCAAAAAGAAGAAAGCAGUAUUGACUGGGGAAUCUUUCUAGGUGCUAAGAAAUGAGUGGGCAAUGUAAGAAAGCACAAAGUAUAGGAACAUUGCAAGAGCAAUAAAGGGAAUUAUAAUAAAAGUCUUAAGUAUAAAAACUCUAGACAAUUGAAGAAAGAAUCUCAGAAUUUGGGGCAAAGAAGGGCAAGAGGAAAACAAUGUAAAGUUUCAUCUUCCAGUGAGGUGAGAGGGAAGGGUAAUGGAAGUGAGGGUAUUCUAAAGACAGCUUAAAGAUCUAAUUUAAUUGGCUAUGAUAAAGGAAAGGGCAAAAUACAGCAUCUUGGUGGAAGUAAUUUUGGAGUACCUUGGGGAUUGAGUCCAAGGUCUUUGCACUGAACUACGUUACCGGGCUGUAGAGGACUGAUUAAUGGUCAACUUGUAACACCCAGCUGAAUUGAAUCACCGUGGUCUGGGCAUGGAGGAUCCACCUGAGGAUUAUUACCAAUAGCCAUAAAAAGAGAACAGGAGGGGCAGAUGGUGGCCUGUUGAUUUUCUAGGAGAAGCUUGCUUCGGAUGGUUUUCCUGAUGCAAAUCAGGCUGUUCUCGUCAGAGGAGGAGCUCGGGGCCUUGCUGUUGCUCAAAAUGGAUGCUGUUUUCGUCAGGGGAGAUCGGAUCUUCACCAUGAGCAUCACUUCCUGGCUCCAAUGUGGAUCCCUCAGAGUGGUGGCACAAAUCCUUCAUCUCACCGGCAUAGAUUUUUCUGGCUUCCACCACUGACCUUUGGGCCUUCCCAGUGCAGAUCCUCAAUAGGGAAAAGCAUGAGACAUUGCUGUGGGCUCUAGGCCACUGGCUGGACUCAAGGAGGACAUUGCCUUGGACUCUAAGCCUUUAGCUGAACUUGUGUGGGAUGCUGCUGGGAUCCAGACCCUUGGCUGGAUUCUGUGGGCUUCUAGUGUGUGGUUAAUCUCUUGCACUCCUUUGCAUUUGACUUUUUUGAGUAAUUAUCAUAAAAUAAUCUUAGAAAUUAUGUGUCAUGUACUUAAUGUAUUCCCUUGCCAAACCCUGACUACAACACAGGCUUUUUUAUAUUUUGAGACAAAGUCUUCCUAAGUUGAUAAAUUGCCUAAGCUGGGCUCAAACUUCGGAUCUUUCUGUCUUAGUUUCCCAGAGUGCUAGGACUACAGGCAUGUGCCACCAAACCUGACUAAAAGUUUUAUUUUAAGUGCAGAAUAAAAAAGGUAACCAUUAAAGGGAAAGGGCAAGUAUAUUAAAAAUUUCAAAUUUACAAGGUGAAGUGAAAUGUUCAUCAAGUUAUUUAAAUCAAAAAAAAUUAGCAAAAUAGAAAAGUGGAAAUUCUUAAAAUAAAUAUCAUAGAGUAAUAUGGAAGGCAUAAAGUGACUUAAAUAUGAUUAAGUACAAUUAUUCCAUCAAAUACAGACUGUCAAGUUGACUUUUUUUUUUUUUUUGUACCAGGGAUUGAACUCUGGAGCUCGCACUUGCGAGGCAGGUGACAGAAACACUGAGCUAAAUCCUCAGCCUCAUGUCAAGUUGACUUUUAAAAAUUUAUUUAUGUAUGUGUAAGAAAGGCAUUUGACUGUUAAAAGUUGAACAUAGGGAGAUGUGUAAUAAAUUAUGAGACAAAGACAAGCAGGAGAUCAGUUACAAGUGUUACUACUACUGUCAGGAAAAGGAGCAUGUACAAGUACCAUACAUAGAAACGGAUCAUAAGGUAUACAGUUUUGUGGAAAUUUACGACCCAGAUUUGUGUUCUCUUUGGAUCUGGGUGCUUCUGCAGUAUCUGGAAGUUUUCAUUUUGAAAUGGGCCCUAGGGGUCUAGAUGCUUUAAAUAUGUUGGGUUUUUUUUUUGGUGCCGGGGAUCGAACUCCGAUCCUUGUGCUUGCAGGGCAGGUGGCGGAACCACUGAGCUAAAUAUCCAGCCCACUUUAAAUAUGUUGGAAUCUGGUUUGGGGGUUGCAAAAGAAAAGAUACAAAGAUCAGCUGGCUCUGUUGGCUCUUUGAAUGGCCCAGCUGACUAAAGAAGCACCGUGUGUGUCCAAGUUCACUCAGAGAUCCAGACCCUGGCCAUUUGUUGGAUGGGAUCUACUCUAGUGGCACCUUGGUAUCUUAUUAUUUUACUUCUUAUGGUGUUCUAGUUUGGGCUGGUGUUGCCAGGGUGGUAGAACAUUUCACUGACAUACUCUUUUUCAGAUGAAAAUGCCGAAAAGUUAUGUGCUUAUAAAUUAAUGGGUUUAUAAGAAUAUUCCUUAGGCAUGCAUGGUGCACUUGCCUAUAAUCCCAGCACUCAGAAGGCUGAGACAGGAGGCUCAUUGUGAGUUCAAGGCCAGCCUGGGCUACAUAAUGAGGCCCUGUCUCAACAAACAAACAAAAACAAAGAUAUUUAAUGAUAUUCUUCUAAUCUUUGACCCAGCAAUUCUUUUAGGAAUUUAUUCUUUGAAAAUAAUAAAAGUGUACACAAGUUAUUCACUAGAGUUUUAUACAUGAAUGUAAAUAUUGGAUAGUAGCCAAAAUUUCCAGUAAAAGAAUAUUGACUAAAUAAACUGUGUAUGUUUUACAAUGAAAUACUAUGCAAUUAUUAGAGUAAUAUAAAUAAGUGCCUCGUAAUGUUAAGAGAAAUAAAGCAGACACAUAACCUUAAGCAUCACAUAGUUUCUCAUUCUGGGUGGUCCGGAUGACACUGGCUUUGCUCAGUCUCCUUGGCAAGUCACUGUAUCCCUGAGCUCAGGGUGAGAAAGGGAGAUGUCUGGGUUCGGG
rnacentral:lncRNA from 1 species